rnacentral:rRNA from 1 species
UGGGGAAUAUUGGACAAUGGGCGCAAGCCUGAUCCAGCCAUGCCGCGUGAGUGAUGAAGGCCUUAGGGUUGUAAAGCUCUUUCGGCGGGGAAGAUAAUGACGGUACCCGCAGAAGAAGCCCCGGCUAACUUCGUGCCAGCAGCGGCGGUAAUACGAAGGGGGCUAGCGUUGCUCGGAAUCACUGGGCGUAAAGCGCACGUAGGCGGCUUACUAAGUCAGGGGUGAAAUCCUGGAGCUCAACUCCAGAACUGCCUUUGAUACUGGUGAGCUUGAGUUCGGGAGAGGUGAGUGGAACUGCGGGUGUAGAGGUGAAAUUCGUAGAUAUUCGCAAGAACACCAGUGGCGAAGGCGGCGCACUGGCCCGAUACUGACGCUGAGGUGCGAAAGCGUGGGGAGCAAACA